GACCCCGUGGCGUAAUGGUAGCGCGUGAGAUUCCAACUGGAAUGUGUCGAGCAGUAGCUCGUACGUUUCCUCAAGGUUGUCCGUUCGAUUCGGGCCGGGGUCG
rnacentral:tRNA from 1 species